CGGGGCGUAGCUCAGCUCGGUAGAGCGCGUGGUUUGGGACCACGAAGUCGCAGGUUCAAAUCCUGUCGCCCCGA
rnacentral:tRNA from 1 species